rnacentral:rRNA from 1 species
AUUGAACGCUGGCGGCAGGCCUAACACAUGCAAGUCGAGCGAGCGGCGGACGGGUGAGUACUGUCUGGGAAACUGCCUGAUGGAGGGGGAUAACUACUGGAAACGGUAGCUAAUACCGCAUACCAUCAGAUGUGCCCAGAUGGGAUUAGCUAGUAGGUGGGGUAACGGCUCACCUAGGCGACGUGCCCUAGCUGGUCUGCGAGGAUGACCAGCCAACCUGGAACGGAGACACGGUCCAAAGUCCGACGGGAGGCAGCCGUGGGGAAUAUUGACCAAUGGGGGGAAGCGUGAGGCAGCCAGGCCGCGUGUGUGAAGAAGGCCUUCGGGUUGUAAAGCACUGUCAGCGGGGAGGCGUUACCCACAGAAGAAGCACCGGCUAACUCCGUGCCAGCAGCCGCGGUAAUAC